rnacentral:rRNA from 1 species
UUGUUCGCAAUGGGCGAAAGCCUGACGACGCAACGCCGCGUGGAGGAUGAAGACUUUCGGGUCGUAAACUCCUUUCGACCGAGAUGAACACCCUUCGGCCUAAUACGCCGAGGGGCUGACAGUAUCGAGGGAAGAAGCCCCGGCUAACUCCGUGCCAGCAGCCGCGGUAAUACGGGGGGGGCAAGCGUUGUUCGGAAUUACUGGGCGUAAAGGGUUCGUAGGUGGCCCGCUAAGUCAGACGUGAAAUCCCUCAGCUCAACUGGGGAACUGCGUCUGAGACUGGCGGGCUUGAGUGCAGGAGAGGAACGCGGAAUUCCAGGUGUAGCGGUGAAAUGCGUAGAUAUCUGGAGGAACACCGGUGGCGAAGGCGGCGUUCUGGACUGUUACUGACACUGAGGAACGAAAGCCAGGGGAGCAAACG